rnacentral:rRNA from 1 species
AUACGGAGGGAGCGAGCGUUAAUCGGAAUUACUGGGCGUAAAGCGCGCGUAGGCGGUUUAGUAAGUCGGAUGUGAAAGCCCUGGGCUCAACCCAGGAAUUGCAUUCGAUACUGCUUGACUAGAGUAUGGUAGAGGGAAGUGGAAUUUCCGGUGUAGCGGUGAAAUGCGUAGAUAUCGGAAGGAACACCAGUGGCGAAGGCGACUUCCUGGGCCAAUACUGACGCUGAGGUGCGAAAGCGUGGGGAGCAAACAGGAUUAGAAACCCGAGUAGUCC